UGGGGAAUAUUGCACAAUGGGCGCAAGCCUGAUGCAGCCAUGCCGCGUGUGUGAAGAAGGCCUUCGGGUUGUAAAGCACUUUCAGCGGGGAGGAAGGCGAUAAGGUUAAUAACCUUGUCGAUUGACGUUACCCGCAGAAGAAGCACCGGCUAACUCCGUGCCAGCAGCCGCGGUAAUACGGAGGGUGCAAGCGUUAAUCGGAAUUACUGGGCGUAAAGCGCACGCAGGCGGUUUGUUAAGUCAGAUGUGAAAUCCCCGGGCUCAACCUGGGAACUGCAUCUGAUACUGGCAAGCUUGAGUCUCGUAGAGGGGGGUAGAAUUCCGGGUGUAGCGGUGAAAUGCGUAGAGAUCUGGAGGAAUACCGGUGGCGAAGGCGGCACCUGGACGAAGACUGACGCUCAGGUGCGAAAGCGUGGGGAGCAAACAGG
rnacentral:rRNA from 1 species